AAUAUUACUUUACUAUUCUAUUUGACGAUAACUAUAUCAUAAUUAAGUGCAAUUUUUGAAUCAUAGCAAGUGGCAAAGGACUUGAUGGUUGGUACCCUAGACCCGAGUUCGAAUCCUAGUUGAUUCACAUUUCUUGCUAAGUUUAUUUCUAAAUGAAAUAAACAAAACGGGUAGCGUGCUACCUAUCUCUCAAAAAAAAAAUAUAUAUAUCAUAAUUAAGUGCAAUUUUUGAAUUAUAAAAUAUUAAAUAAAAAUAUCCUAAAUCAUA
rnacentral:lncRNA from 1 species